GAUGAACGCUGGCGGCGUGCCUAAUACAUGCAAGUCGAGCGAACAGACGAGGAGCUUGCUCCUCUGACGUUAGCGGCGGACGGGUGAGUAACACGUGGAUAACCUACCUAUAAGACUGGGAUAACUUCGGGAAACCGGAGCUAAUACCGGAUAAUAUAUUGAACCGCAUGGUUCAAUAGUGAAAGACGGUUUUGCUGUCACUUAUAGAUGGAUCCGCGCCGCAUUAGCUAGUUGGUAAGGUAACGGCUUACCAAGGCAACGAUGCGUAGCCGACCUGAGAGGGUGAUCGGCCACACUGGAACUGAGACACGGUCCAGACGCCUACGGGAGGGAGCAGUAGGGAAUCUUCCGCAAUGGGCGAAAGCCUGACGGAGCAACGCCGCGUGAGUGAUGAAGGUCUUCGGAUCGUAAAACUCUGUUAUUAGGGAAGAACAAAUGUGUAAGUAACUAUGCACGUCUUGACGGUACCUAAUCAGAAAGCCACGGCUAACUACGUG
rnacentral:rRNA from 1 species